AUUGAACGCUGGCGGCAGGCCUAACACAUGCAAGUCGAACGAGUGGCGUACGGGUUAGUAAUGUAUGGGAAACUUCCUGAUGGAGGGGGAUAACUACUGGAAACGGUAGCUGAUACCGCAUACCAUCGGAUGUGCCCAGAUGGGAUUAGCUAGUAGGUGGGGUAAAGGCCCACCGAGGCGACGACCCCUAGCUGGUCUGAGAGGAUGACCAGCAACACUGGACCUGAGACACGGUCCAGACUCCUACGGGAGGCAGCAGUGGGGACUAUUGGACAAGGGGCGAAAGCCUGAUGCAGCCAUGCCGCGUGUAUGAAGAAGGCCUUCGGGUUGUAAAGUACUUUCAGCGGGGAGGCGUUACCCGCAGAAGAAGCACCGGCUAACUCCGUGCCAGCAGCCGCGGUAAUAC
rnacentral:rRNA from 1 species